rnacentral:lncRNA from 1 species
ACAAAAACUAAGUAUAAAUCUUUCAAAUUGUGACCUUGUAAUGUCGUUUUUGUCCUUGUGUGGUUUUGAAAAAAAUAUUAGGUUAAACAUUAAAAUUCAUGGUUAACCUAAGAUGAUACCCACUAAAUCAACCGCCAUUUUGUAUACUACAAAAAAAAUCAUUAAUUACUGGUAAAACGCAAUAUUGCCUUUUGUUAUAUACAUAUAGCGAAGAUGUUGUUUAAGUUCACAAUGCCCUUUUAAUAAAACUUUUAAUUUGCUGAGUUAAAAAAAUCUUAUUUCCUUCAAAAAUUAUUUUAAAGAGAAUAAAAAAUAUGAGAUUACUUCCAAUUACUGUGAAUAGAGGUUACACUAUAGAUUAUAACAAAAAAGAUGGGCUGUGUCUGUCCUCCAAUUAUUGUGAAUAGAGGUUACACUGUAUAUCUUAUCCCAACUGAAAGACUGUGUCUGUUCUCCAAGAAUUGUCAAUAGAGAUUACACUAUAAUUAUAACCAAAUAGUAGGGCUGUGCUUGUCCUUCAAAUAUUGUCAAUAGGAUUAAACUUUAGAUUGUAUUAUUGAUAUCCCAACUCAAGGACUGGGUCUGUCCUCCAACUAUUAUCAAUAGAGGUUAUACUGUAGAUUAUAAAAAAAGAUGGGCUGUGUCUGUCCUUCAAUUAUUGUCAAUAGAAUUAAACUAUAGAUUGUAUUGAUAUCCCGACUGAAGGACUGUGUCUUUUCUCCAACAAUUGUCACUAGAGGUUCCACUAUAGAUUAUAACCCAAUAGAAGGGCUAUGUCUGUCAUCAAAAUAUUGUAAAUAGAGGAUCCACAAUAGGUAAUAACCAGAUAGAAGCCUCAGGGCUGUGUCAGUCCUCCUAUUAUUGUCAAUAGUGAGUCCGGGUCGGUCUUGUAAGUGUUAAUUACGGUUUGUUCUUAGUAAAUUAGUUCUAUGCAGAUUCUUUGUCCAAGCUUGUAUGAAAAUUCUAAAUUAUCUAUUCAACUUCAUAAUGAAAAGGUUAAACAAAUGUUACAUUAAUAAAUUCCAGUCAAGAGUAGACAUAGCUGUCUACCAAAUCAUCCCAAAUCUAUUGCAACAUUUUUUAUUGACCUUUAAAAACUUUGCUAACCAAUUUCAAAAGUAAAACAGGUUAGGUAUGGGGACUUAGCAUAAAGCUUCCAGGCAAUAGCCAGGAAUUUCCAAGGGGAGUUCAAUACAAUCAUACUCAACUUUAACAGUUACAAUUCAAACAGAAUGUGGACUUUAAAAGUGCUGAUUUGUUUUAAAGGGGGCAGGGUUCGUACAAACCUCUCAAACCCCCAUGGCUAUGGGUGUGUCUUCACCUUCAUAUUAACUUAUCAAUGUUUGACAGCUUUAGAUUAAGCUGUCAGAAUGAUUGAUUGUGUUAAAUUUGAAAGACUGAACAAUUUUUUGGAAAAUACUCCAGGUUAUACAAAUUACUUAUAACAUAAGUUUU